rnacentral:rRNA from 1 species
UCGGCUUAGAGUUUGAUCCUGGCUCAGAUUGAACGCUGGCGGCAGGCCUAACACAUGCAAGUCGAGCGGUAGGGAAGCUUGCUUCUCACGAGCGGCGGACGGGUGAGUAAUGUAUGGGGAUCUGCCCGAUAGAGGGGGAUAACUACUGGAAACGGUAGCUAAUACCGCAUAAUCUCUCAGGAGCAAAGCAGUUCGUUGCGCUAUCGGAUGAACCCAUAUGGGAUUAGCUAGUUGGUGAGGUAAUGGCUCACCAAGGCGACGAUCCCUAGCUGGUCUGAGAGGAUGAUCAGCCACACUGGGACUGAGACACGGCCCAGACUCCUACGGGAGGCAGCAGUGGGGAAUAUUGCACAAUGGGGGCAAGCCUGAUGCAGCCAUGCCGCGUGUAUGAAGAAGGCCUUAGGGUUGUAAAGUACUUUCGUGUAGGAGGAAGGGUUU